CCUCAGGGCGACUUGCUGGUGGGUUUGCCUACAUCAGAGUUAAAGAUACCGGUCCAUGGAAAGUGGACUCCAGGUUAGGAGCAAAGGUCAGGCUGCGGUGUGAUGUUUACAACAGGGACAUUGGUGCAGGGCUGCUCUCCAGAGUACAGAACUCAGACACAAAUUGGGCCAGUGUGUGGAACACAACGGGCAGUGCAGAGAAGGAAAACCUGCAAAGCUAACGGGGCACCUGUAAGUAACAGGAAGAUGUGGAACUCAAGAUUCGUGCUCUUGUCAGAAUCACCGAACUGGAGGCACAUACUGCAACGAGCUACGCGGACAGAUUUGCAAGGCAUAUUGUUGGAUGAAAAAAGUAAGAAACAGGGGCUGGAGAGCACAACAAAACAUACUUACAGCGGAAGCCAUGCUUGCACACAAAACAAGAGCUCCGCCUGUUUCAACGCACAUCCAAGAGUGUAGAUGAAGUCCUCCAGUGAGUGCUUUGGGGGCACCGACACACCAAGCUGGCCCCUCCUUCCACCCGCACACCGGCCCUCUCCCCAGGGAAUGGACUUCUCCACCCUCGCCUCUCCGUUCUCACCGAAGCACCAGUAUUAGUGGAUGUGAAUGGCUUUCGCGCCGACGCAGCCCACCAGACAAGAUGGGCAGCAGGAGCACACCCCCCAUCACCCUUCUUCAAGACGCCCCAUAAAAUACCAGCUGCAAUCGGAGCACCUCUUUCUCUUGAGAGUCCACACGUAUUUCUUUGUUUACUUUAGAUUCUGCCUAAUAAAUCCCUUUAUGUCUCUUCCUGA